rnacentral:rRNA from 1 species
UACAGAGGGUGCGAGCGUUGUCCGGAAUUAUUGGGCGUAAAGAGCUUGUAGGCGGUCUGUCGCGUCUGCUGUGAAAAUCCGGGGCUCAACCCCGGACUUGCAGUGGGUACGGGCAGACUAGAGUGCGGUAGGGGAGACUGGAAUUCCUGGUGUAGCGGUGGAAUGCGCAGAUAUCAGGAGGAACACCGAUGGCGAAGGCAGGUCUCUGGGCCGCAACUGACGCUGAGGAGCGAAAGCAUGGGGAGCGAACAGG